GAUGAAGAACGCAGCGAAAUGCGAUAAGUAGUGUGAAUUGCAGAAUUCAGUGAAUCAUCGAAUCUUUGAACGCACAUUGCGCCCACUGGUAUUCCGGUGGGCAUGCCUGUUCGAGCGUCAUUAUCCUCCCUCAAACCCCGGGUUUGGUGUUGGACCCAAGUUGUGUGAACAACUGGUCUCAAAGACAAUGACGGCGUCCGUGGGACCCUCGGUGCAACGAGCUUUUAGGAGCACGCGCCGAGUUGCAAGGACCUUCCGGGCCGGUCUCCUUUACUAUUUUACAAGGUUGACCUCGGAUCAGGUAGGAAUACCCGCUGAACUUAAGCAUAUCAAUAAGCGGAGGA
rnacentral:misc_RNA from 1 species